GAGUAAUGUCUGGGAAACUGCCUGAUGGAGGGGGAUAACUACUGGAAACGGUGGCUAAUACCGCAUAACGUCGCAAGACCAAAGAGGGGGACCUUCGGGCCUCUUGCCAUCAGAUGUGCCCAGAUGGGAUUAGCUUGUUGGUGAGGUAACGGCUCACCAAGGCGACGAUCCCUAGCUGGUCUGAGAGGAUGACCAGCCACACUGGAACUGAGACACGGUCCAGACUCCUACGGGAGGCAGCAGUGGGGAAUAUUGCACAAUGGGCGCAAGCCUGAUGCAGCCAUGCCGCGUGUAUGAAGAAGGCCUUCGGGUUGUAAAGUACUUUCAGCGGGGAGGAAGGUGUUGUGGUUAAUAACCACAGCAAUUGACGUUACCCGCAGAAGAAGCACCGGCUAACUCCGUGCCAGCAGCCGCGGUAAUACGGAGGGUGCAAGCGUUAAUCGGAAUUACUGGGCGUAAAGCGCACGCAGGCGGUCUGUCAAGUCGGAUGUGAAAUCCCCGGGCUCAACCUGGGAACUGCAUUCGAAACUGGCAGGCUUGAGUCUUGUAGAGGGGGGUAGAAUUCCAGGUGUAGCGGUGAAAUGCGUAGAGAUCUGGAGGAAUACCGGUGGCGAAGGCGGCCCCCUGGACAAAGACUGACGCUCAGGUGCGAAAGCGUGGGGAGCAAACAGGAUUAGAUACCCUGGUAGUCCACGCCGUAAACGAUGUCUACUUGGAGGUUGUGCCCUUGAGGCGUGGCUUCCGGAGCUAACGCGUUAAGUAGACCGCCUGGGGAGUACGGCCGCAAGGUUAAAACUCAAAUGAAUUGACGGGGGCCCGCACAAGCGGUGGAGCAUGUGGUUUAAUUCGAUGCAACGCGAAGAACCUUACCUGGUCUUGACAUCCACGGAAGUUUUCAGAGAUGAGAAUGUGCCUUCGGGAACCGUGAGACAGGUGCUGC
rnacentral:rRNA from 1 species